rfam:Synechococcus sp. JA-2-3B'a(2-13), complete genome.
GGUAGGCAAAGAUCCGCAGCGGAUUGAGGGUGGGAUCCGCAACGAUCCGCACGCGGCCCAGGUUGGCAUCGUACAGCCCUCCCCAAAAGAGAGCCUUGGCCACCAGCAGCCAUGCACCCAGCCCCAGCAGCAGCAGGUGGAUGCCGAGGAUGGUGGUCAUCUUGUCGUCAUCUUCCCA